UACGUAGGGUGCGAGCGUUGUCCGGAAUUACUGGGCGUAAAGAGCUCGUAGGUGGUUUGUCGCGUUGUUCGUGAAAUCUCACGGCUUAACUGUGGGCGUGCGGGCGAUACGGGCAGACUGGAGUACUGCAGGGGAGACUGGAAUUCCUGGUGUAGCGGUGGAAUGCGCAGAUAUCAGGAGGAACACCGGUGGCGAAGGCGGGUCUCUGGGCAGUAACUGACGCUGAGGAGCGAAAGCGUGGGGAGCGAACAGG
rnacentral:rRNA from 1 species